rnacentral:tRNA from 1 species
UAAAAAUUAGUUAACAAUAUAACAUUAGUUUGUCAAACUAAAAUAAUCCCACGAUAUUUUUAU